rnacentral:rRNA from 1 species
AACGAACGCUGGCGGCAUGCCUAACACAUGCAAGUCGAACGAGACCUUCGGGUCUAGUGGCGCACGGGUGCGUAACGCGUGGGAACCUGCCCUUAGGCUCGGAAUAACUCCCCGAAAGGGGUGCUAAUAUCGGAUAAUGUCUUCGGACCAAAGAUUUAUCGACUUUGGAUGGGCCCGCGUUGGAUUAGCUAGUUGGUAGGGUAAAAGCCUACCAAGGCGACGAUCCAUAGCUGGGCUGAGAGGAUGAUCAGCCACACUGGGACUGAGACACGGCCCAGACUCCUACGGGAGGCAGCAGUGGGGAAUAUUGGACAAUGGGCGAAAGCCUGAUCCAGCAAUGCCGCGUGAGUGAUGAAGGCCUUAGGGUUGUAAAGCUCUUUUACCCGGGAUGAUAAUGACAGUACCGGGAGAAUAAGCUCCGGCUAACUCCGUG